rnacentral:lncRNA from 1 species
GGGAAGUCGCGCCCCCACGUCCGAAGCUAGAAGGGGGAGGCUGUGGGAAUUCCUUGUAGAUCGGGGGAAACGGUGACUCGGACUCCAGUCACAAAGCUCUCCACAUCACGUGACCGACCUCACCUUCGCUCCAGAAACGUCCUCAGUUUUAGCCGUGGCAAAUAAAGUGGAAGGACGUGACCUGCUCGUCCCCUCUAAAGGCCCUCGGCCUGGAUUGGGCCCUUCAGCGAACUCUAGUAUUCCAGGGUGCAACAUUCAAGGUCAAGGUCGGGCAGCGGCUGUCUAGGGUGCAGCGGGACUCUGGACUCCUCGGUUUCCUAACCGAGAAGGGGGAGCCCUGCAAAUUGGGGGGCCUUACUCUCGGGGAAGGGGUUCUUUCCCGUUACUGAUCACCCCUUCCGUGUGGGGUGGGAGGACCCUCCCCGGGUUCUGUGCGGGCUGAGCGCUGUGGCCGCAAUGGGUCCCCAAGUAGCCCUCCUGGUGGCGGCGCUAGCCGGCUGCCUGCUUCCUGCCGGGGGCUGUGUCAUAUGUGAUCAGAGGGUCGUGGCGGCUCUGGACGCCUUGGAAAAGGAAUACCUGCCUACCCACAUGGCGCGCGAGCGUCAGAGACAAGUGAUGGAAACGAUAAGACAAACCGUGAGAAAUUUCUGGGACCUGCCAUAUUUAGAGGAUGCCUUUAUGGGGGUUAUAGGUGAGGGCAGGGUAGAGCGUGGGAACCCCGGGUCGUGGAAAAAGAGGAGUCUGGUGCUAGGAUUCCUGGGAGCAGGGACGGGGCGCGGGGAGGGAGGGAAGGGCCGGAGCCAGAGUCUACUGGGUUCGUGAUGGAGAGGGCUGAGAUGCAGAUGCCAGGGCUUUCCGAGCGCUAGGAAAUACUGUGUUCUCCUACCCCUGACCCUGCAAUUUUAUGUACAAAACUACAACUCCCAGAAGGCAACAGACAGGCAAUCCUUUACAGCCCUAGCCUUGCCCAAUAGCCACAUGGGCAUUGUAGUUUUUAACACUAGCUGAGCCAAUGGGACCACAAGGCUUCGAAUCUGAGGUUCUAUCUCCCCUCCCCGCAUCCCCCGUGUCCCUCCAGAUGAGGCCACGAUGGAAACGUCAGUGUUGGGUUUUCUGAGGAGUAUGACACUUAUCACAAACAGUGACAUAGCAGGUAAAUGGCACAGUGGCCAGGGGAGGGGCUUCGGAAUCCUUUGGCUCUGGAGCCAAACUGCCUAGGUUCAAACACCGGCCCUGUCAUCCCCUGGCUGUGUGGCCUUUAGGGAGGGAUAUCACAGCUUUGUCACCUCCGAACUGGGUCAUAACGGUGCCUGCACCCAGGCCAGUGACUUAGCCCAGUGGCCAGCAUGGUUAAGUGGUCAUUCAAUUUCACUGCGCCUCCCGGAGAUGGCCCCAACCUGGAACGCCAGCCUCUUCAGACGGGUACCUGUACCUCCUCCUGGGGUGGGUGGGAGGAGGGGUCGCCCUCUGUCACCCUGCUCUUUCCCAGAUGACACUUUCGUGAAGGAGUUCUCCUGGAUGUUGACUCUGGAAAAGGCAGCCUUUCAGCGCAAUGUUGCUCGGUUCCAAAGAGAGGGUGAGGGAAGAUGGGUUCCCUCAGGGACCACAGCCCCUUCCUCCACCAGUCCCGGGGUCCCCGUCCCCAGUCCUCUGCUUCUCUAUGUCCAGCCCCUCACCUCUCCCAACAGCGUCCUCCCUCCAACCCAAGAGCCCAAACCCCAACCUAUUCCUUCUCCCCCUCUCUCGUGUCCUUUAACUUAGAAAUCUCAUCACUUUUUUUUUUUUCUUCCUUCUGAGGCAGAUUUCUGUCCCAACAAAUGUGGUGAGUCCAGAUUAGGGAAGCUGGUUUUCUAUCCCCCAUUCUGGCCCCGGUUAAUACCCAGCCUUUCUCCUCCUGCUUUGGGUCUCGAUGGUUCUUCCUUCCCCACGUCUGAGAGGUUCCUGGUCCCCAGUAGUCCUUCUGCACAGCGGACUUCCUGGGCGACGGGUCCUAUUCCAUGUGGGCUCCUCACUGAGCCCGGUUAGGUCCCUCUUCCGGCAGGUCUGCCUUCUAGCCCCGCCCCUUGGGCUGACCUCUCGGGAUUAGGCGCUGGGCCCCGCCCCAGCCCUUGACCCUGCCCUCUCCUUUUAGUCUCUUCUAUCAGGAUAAAUGCAACCUUGAUCCUGCCCCUUCAGGUAUGAUGUUGCAGCCUCUGAUCUGGUGCAGUAAUUGUAAAAAGCAGCUUCACGUUUGUCGAAAGUCCACAGAUUGCGGUGGUGAGAGAGCUGGGGCCAGCUGGAGGGAGUGGGGGUUGACUCAAGAGGGGCGGAGCCAGAGGAGAGCCGGGGUCUAGAGAGGCCAAAGAAAGGAGCCGGCCCACCAGAAAAGUGGGGGCCAAGACCAAGUGCGAGGGAGUUGAGGGAGAACCAAGAUGCAUCCCACCGUAACCGCCUGUCCCCAGUGCGCCAAAUCAACGUCCACGAAAAGGAAGACUUGGUCCUGGACUGUGAGCUCAACUGGCAUAAAUUAUCUCAAGGCCUGACCUAUUACAGCUUUUACAGGGUGGGCCCUUCAACCCCAUCAACCCCAAGUCCAUUAGGCUUGGUUGAGCGCCCACCCCGGUAUCCACAAGCUUGUUGCCACAAUCCCCAUGACCCAUGACCUACCAGGUUUGACUUCUACGGGUCCCCGGGGACCCCAUGCCCUUACCAGUAACCCUAGACUCCCAUCUCCCCCACUGAGAUCCCGUGAUGCUCUCACACCUGUACUUCCCCAAACCCUGAACUCCCCAGGCCUCUGUGACCCCUUGAGCUUGGGUCUAGGUUUGGGGGAGCAAUUCUGAGACCUUGGUGUACAAGGGGAAACAGCCCACCCUGACCAAGCCCCUGGUGGGGCCAGAGGAUGCAGGUGACUACCGCUGUGAGUUGGGCACUGUGAGAUCCCUCCCAGCCACGGUCAUCCAUUUUAAAGUCACAGGUCAGAGCUGGGGAGUCGACGGAAGUGUGGGAAUCAGGGUCCUGGGGUUAGGGGACAGUCAGCUUGGGGCAUGGCCUAUGGGGCAAAACUUCCUGUCGGGGUGUCAUUUCAGGCCACGGGGGUGUGGCCACCCGCCACGGUGGCCGGGGUCCAGGCAGAAAGGGUCGCGAUUGUCUCCUCCAAGGCCCGGGUCUUGGGGGAAGGUUGGAGGGGGGGGAGCUUGCCUGGGCCACGGGGGACCUUGGUGGCCUCCCAAGGCUGCUCUUUCUCUCUCCUCUAUCAGUGUUGCCUCAGAGAAUCAUAGAGGAGACACCGACAUCAAACUUUGAAACCGAGGAGCAGCUGUCCCCAACCCUCCAGCCUUCAGAGUACCCUAAGCCCGAGAAGGUGCUGAGAAGCCUUCUGGCAGGGCUGCUGAUCUGGGGCUUUGUGGUGCUGAUCAUCAGCUUUGUCACCGCGUGAGCCAACCCUGAUGAAGGCGGGGCACGAACAGAGGGACGGGGUCUCCAAAUCCCAAUGCAGGAGGGGGUCCUUUAAGGGAGAGGCCUUAGAAAAUGGUAGCGAUGAUCCAGCCUGGGUCAUUGCUGGAGUAAGACCAAAUAUAGGGAGGCGAGGAGGGCUAUCCCUCAAGACCUAACCUGGUUCCACUAUCUGCCCCCCGCCCUCCCCCAGCGUACUUUGCUUUCUGCCUGGGAACGUGAUGGAUUCCAUAAAGUCCUGGGUCCUCACAAACAGAGCAGCCGCCCUGCAGAGCCAGGUUCCGAAGGUACCGAAAGGAAACGACACAGCACCAAGUCACAAAUAAAGAUUUAUCUGGUUGCCUAAAUACCGGAUUCAUUUCCUCGGGUCUGAUCCUCAUUUUGGCUUUCCGAGAGGAGAGGUCUGGGGCUCGCCUCCUGUCCUAGAAGGAGAGCCCGGGAACCCGGGUCCCUUGGUCAUGGCAGGGCCCCCCGGCUGAGAUGUAAUUCCCCAAUCGAGGAGUGGGGAAGGGCCAGCCCUACCCAGAUCUCCUCCCCCAGCCUCGCCCCCUCACAGGACGCCCCCUCCCCGCUCUUCCAGCCCAGUUUCCUCUGGCCUUUUCCUGUCCCCCAGCCAGGGCUGGGAGCCGGGGCAGAGGGGUCAAGAACCAACCCGGGUCAACGAAGACAGGGCGCCGAGGUGCUGGUGGGACCCGAAGCAGAGUAAGAACCGCGGGACCAGGGGUCCACACCCCUCCUGCAUCAGACCCAAGAGCCGGUCCCCAGCCAUCUUCCACGCCAGUUCCCAGGAGUUAAGCUCCCAUCCUUCUCCUCCACCCAGACUCAUUAGUCUGACCCCAGCCCCCUCCACCCCAACGCGACCGCACAAGGGCCUCAUCUGGGAAGACGAGAUGAAAGUUCUAGUCAGAGAGGGGUCUGUCUGCGAGAUCCUGGAACAAUAGGCGGGGCCUCCCUUUGUUGCCGCCCAAUCAGACUCAGAGUUGGGUUUGUGGGCGGGGCCAAGGAAACUCGCCCAGAGUGUCACUAGAGAAGUCGGCGCCCCAAGGAGAAAGGAAGAAGAGGGACUCUGUGGGAUUGAGGUGACCUUCGAGUCUGACUCCAGUCAUAAAGCUCUCCACGUCAUGUGACCAACCUCACCCUCGAUCCACAACAUCCUCAAUUUUAGCCGUGGCAAAUAGAGUGGAAGGACGUGGCCUGCUCGUCCCCUCCAAAGGCCCCCAGCUUGGAUUCGGCCCUUCAGCGAACCCUAGUAUUCCAGGGUGCAACAUUCAAGGUCAAGGUCGGGCAGCGGCUGUCUAGGGUGCAUCGGGACUCCGGACUCCUCGGUUUCCUAACCGAAAAGGGGGAGCCCUGCAAAUUGGGGGGUCUUAAUCUCGGGGAAGGGGUUCUUUCCGGUCAGCGAUCACCCCUUCCGUGUGGGGUGGACGGACCCUCCCCGGGGUUCUGCUGGGGCUGAGCGCCCUGGGGAAAUGGGUCCCCAAGUUGCCCUCCUGGUGGUGGCGCUAGCCGGCUGCCUGCUUCCUGCCCGGAGCUGUGUCACGUGUGAUCGAAGGGUCGUGGCCGCGCUGGACGCCUUGGAAAAGGAAUACCUGCCUACCCACCUGGCGCCCGAGCGUCACAGAGAAGUGAUGGAAAAGAUAAGACAAACCGUGAGGGAUUUCCGGGACCUGCCGGAUUUAGAGGAUACCUUUCUGGGGGUUAUCGGUGAGGGCAGGGUAGAGAGUGCGAAUCCAGGGGUGGAGGGAAAAGAGGGGUCUGCGUUCUAGGAUUGUUGCGGGAGCGGGCAGGAGGGAAGGAAGCGAAAGACUGGAGGGAGACUGUACUGGGUUCGUGAAUGGAGAAGGCUGGGAUGCAGAUUCCAGGCCUUCCCCAGGGCAGACCAAUACACUGUUCCCCUAGUCCUUACGUGGCAAUUUUACGUGGGAAAAAAAAAUACAACUCCCAGAAGGCAACGGGCGUGCCAGCCAUUUACAGCCCUGGGCUGGUCCAGUAGCCUCAUGGGUAUUGUAGUUUUUAACACCUGCUGAGCCAAGAGACCUCAAGGCUCGGGAUCUGAGGUUCUAGCUCCCCUCCCCGCAUCCUCUGUGUCCCUCCAGAUGAGGCCACAAUGGAAACGUCAGUCUUGAGUUUUCUGCGGAGUGUGAGACUUAUCAGAAACAGUGAUGUAGCAGGUAAAUCCACAUAGGGGCCAAGGGAGGGGCUCCAGAAACUUUUCGAGAAAUGAUUGUUGGUGAGGACGGGUCUGGUAGUCGCUCUGGAGCCCACCUGCCUCGGUUCAAAUUCCGGGCCGGUCAUCCCCUAGCUCUGUGGCCUGUAGGGAGGGGCUUUGCAACUUUGUCACCUCUCAAAUGGGUCCUAACGGUGCCUGCAGGCCAGGGGCCGCUUAGCUCAGUGGCCAGCAUUGUUAAGUGGUCAUUCAAUUUCAUUGUCCCUCCCUGAGGUGGCCCCAACGCGGAAUGCCAAUCUCUUCACACAGAAGGAACUUCCUGUAUCUCCUCCUGCGGUGGGCGGGGGAGGGGUACCACUCUAUGUCACCCUGCUCCUUCCCAGAUGACACUUUCGUGAAGGAGUUCUCCUGGAUGUUGACUCUGGAAAAGGCAGCCUUUCGUGGCUACGUCACUCGAUUCCAAAGAGAGGGUGAGGGAAGAUGGCUUCUGUCAGGGACCACAGCCCCUUCCCUCAACAGGCCCAGGGACCCUGUCCCCAGCCCCCUGCUUUCUAUGUCCAACCACUCACCUCUCCCGACCCGGUCCUCCCUUGGACCCAGAGAUUCAGACACCCGGGUCCUUCUUCCCUCCAACCCAAGAGCCCAAACCCAACCUAUUCCUGCCCCCCCCCCCCAUCCCCUUUAACAGGAAUCUGAUAAUUCUCUUUUCUUCCUUCUGAGGCAGAUUUCUGUCCCAACAAAUGUGGUGAGUCCGGAUUAUGGGAACUGGUUUUCUAUCCUUCAUCCUUGCCGCGUGAAUACCCAGCCUUUCUCCUCCGGCUUUGGGUCUCGGUGGUUCUUCCUUCCCCACGUCUGAGAGGUUCCUGGUCCCCAGUAGUCCUUCUGCACAGCGGACUUCCUGGGCAACGGGUCCUAUUCUCUGGGCGCUCUUUCCUGAGACUGGUUACACCCCUCUUCAGGGAGGACUGCCUUCUGGCCCCGCCCCUUGGGCUGACCUCUAGGGAUUAGGCGCCUGCCUCCGCCCCCGACCUUGGCCCUGCCUUUAGCCUCGCCUCUCAGGGCGAAUACAGCCUGGAUCCUGUCCCUUCAGGUACAAUGUUGCAGCUUCUGAUCUGGUGCAGUAACUGUAAAAAGCAGCUUCACGCUUGUCGAAAAUCCAGAGAUUGUGGGGGUGAGAGAGCNNNNNNNNNNNNNNNNNNNNNNNNNNNNNNNNNNNNNNNNNNNNNNNNNNNNNNNNNNNNNNNNNNNNNNNNNNNNNNNNNNNNNNNNNNNNNNNNNNNNNNNNNNNNNNNNNNNNNNNNNNNNNNNNNNNNNNNNNNNNNNNNNNNNNNNNNNNNNNNNNNNNNNNNNNNNNNNNNNNNNNNNNNNNNNNNNNNNNNNNNNNNNNNNNNNNNNNNNNNNNNNNNNNNNNNNNNNNNNNNNNNNNNNNNNNNNNNNNNNNNNNNNNNNNNNNNNNNNNNNNNNNNNNNNNNNNNNNNNNNNNNNNNNNNNNNNNNNNNNNNNNNNNNNNNNNNNNNNNNNNNNNNNNNNNNNNNNNNNNNNNNNNNNNNNNNNNNNNNNNNNNNNNNNNNNNNNNNNNNNNNNNNNNNNNNNNNNNNNNNNNNNNNNNNNNNNNNNNNNNNNNNNNNNNNNNNNNNNNNNNNNNNNNNNNNNNNNNNNNNNNNNNNNNNNNNNNNNNNNNNNNNNNNNNNNNNNNNNNNNNNNNNNNNNNNNNACCCUGGACUCCCAUCUCCCCCACUGAGAGCCCGUGAUGCCCUCACACCUGUACUGCCCCAAACCCUGAAUUCCCCAGGCCUCUGUGACCCCUUGAGCUUGGGUCUAGGUUUGGGGGAGCAAUUCUGAGACCUUGGUGUCCGAGGGGAAACGGCCCACCCUGAUCAAGCGACUGGUGAGGCCAGAGGAUGCGGGUAACUACCGCUGCGAGUUGGGCACUGAGCGAUCCGGCCCAGCCACGGUCAUCCAUUUUGAAGUCACAGGUCAGAGCUGGGGAGUCGACAGACGUAUGGGACUCAGGGUCCUGGGUUUGGGGGGCAGUCAGCUUCAGCGAGCGACCUGGGGGGCCUAACUUUCUGUCGGGGUGUGGUUUCAGGCCAAGGGGGGGUGGCUUCCUGCCCAGGGUGCGGCCACCUCUCACAGUGGCCUGGCUUCAGGCAGUGAGGGGCGUGCUUAUCUCCUGGGAGGCCUGGGUCCUGGGGAAGGGUGGCGUGGACAGAGCUUGCCUGGGCCGCCACCACCGGCCCUCCCAGGACUGCUCCUUCUCUCUCCUCUGUCAGUGUUGCCCAAAAGAGUCAUUGGGGAGAUCCCGAAAUCAAAGCCCGGGACCCAGUAUCAGCGGUUUGGAUCCCUCAAGCCGUCAGAGUGUCUGAAUCCCAAGGACGUGCUGAGAGGCUUUCUGUUCGAGAUGCUGAUCUGGGGCUUUGUGUUUCUGCUCCUCGGCUUUGCCACCUCGUGAGCCGCCUCCCGGAGAAGGCAGGGCUUGGGGCGAGGGGCGCGGUCUCCGACGUCCUAACGUAGGAGGAGGUGUUAGGGGGAGGGGCUUAGAAAAGAGGGGCGUGCUUACCCAGGGCGGCGAAGCUUGGGUCAUAGAAAAGGAUCAGAUAUAGGGAGGCUGGGAGGGGUGUCCCUCACUCAGGACCUAAUCUGCUUACACGAUUGCACCCCACCCUUCCCCAGCGUACUUUGCUUUAGGUCUGGGGCCCUGAUCGAUUCGGUCAAGUCCUGGGUCCGUACCGACAAGGCAGCAGCCCCCGAGGACCAGGGUCCACAAAGUCGGCUGUCACAGACCCAGCUAUCACAGAGCCAGGUGUCACAGACCCAGCUUCCCAAGGUACCGAACGAAGAAAAGGCCACAGCACCAAGGCUUAAAUAAAGAUUUAUCUGGUUGCCUAAAUAUCGGAUUCAUUUUGUCCGGUCAGAUUCUCAGUUUUGGCUUCCCGAGAGGAGAGCUCUGGGGCGGGUCUCCUGUCCUAGAAGGAGAGACUGGGAACCCGGGUCCCUUCGGCGUGGCAGGGCCACCUGGCUGAGAUGCACUUCCAGAAUCAAGGAGUGAUUCCCGAAUCAAGCGCCAGCCCUACCCAGAUCUCCUCCCCCAGGCCCGCCCCCUCACAUGACAACCCGUCCACACUCUUCCAGUGGGUUUCCACUGCCUUUUCCUGUCCCCCAGCCAGUGCUGGGAGCCGGGGCAGAGGCGAAGGCUGAAUAGGAACAGUGGGGUCUGAACGAACCAGGCCGACGGAGCCAGGGCGCCGGGUGCUGUUGGGACCUGAAGCAGGGACCCGGGGGUCCACACGCCUCCUCCACCAGACCCAAGAGCAAGUCCCCAGCCAUCUUCCACGCCAGUUCCCAGGAGCUAAGCUCCCAUCUUUCUCCUCCACCGAGACUCUUUAGUCUGACCCCACCCCCUCCACCCCAACGCGACCACACGGGGGCCUCAUCUGGGAGGAACCAGAAAAAAGUUCUAGUAGAGAGGGGGCGGAGGGCGUUAUCCUGGAACUAUAGGCGGAGCCUCCCUUUGUUGCCGUCCAAUCAGACUCAGAGUUGGGCUUGUGGGCGGGGCCAAGGACACUCCUGGAUUGUCUCUAGGUAAGUCGGGGGCCUGUGUGGAAAGCUAGAAGGGAAACGCUGUGGGAUUUCCUUGCACAUUGAGGCGAUCUUCAGGUCUGACUCCAGUCAUAAAGCUCUCUGCAUCACGUGAGCCACCUCACCUUCGCUCCAACAACAUCCUUAAUUUCAGUCGUGGCGUAACAGAGCCGGAAGGACGUGGCCGGCUCGUCCCUCUGAAUGCCCUCAGCCUGGAUUCCGCUCUUCAGCAAACCCUAGUUGUAUUCGAGGGUCAACGGACAAGUUCAAGGUCGGGCAGCGGCUGCUCAGUGUGCAUCGGGACUCCGGACUCCUCGGUUUCCUAACCGAGAAGGGGGAGCCCAACAAAUUGGGGGUCUUGUCUCGGGGAAAGGGUUCUUUCCCUUUAGCGAUCACUUCCUCCUCCGUGUGGGGUGGGCGGACCCUCCCCAUAAAGUCCAGAUGGUCCUGGUGGGUUCUGCUGGGGCUGAGCGCCCUGGGGAAAUGGGUCCCCAAGUUGCCCUCCUGGUGGCGGCGCUAGCCGGCUGCCUGCUUCCUGCCCGGAGCUGUGUCACGUGUGAUCGAAGGGUGGUGGCCGCGCUGGACUCCUUCGAUAAGGAAUACCUGCCUACCCACCUGGCGCCCAAGCGUCACAGAGAAGUGAUGAGAACGAUAGGAGCAACCGUGGGGAAUUUCACCAAACUGCCAAAUUUACAGCGUUCCUUUAUCGGGGUUAUCGGUGAGGGCAGGGUAGAGCGUGGGAACCCUGGGUCAUGGGAAACGAGGGGUCUAGUCCUAGGACUGCUAGGGGCGGGGGGGGGGAAGAGCUGAAGGCAGAGUCUACUGGGUUCAGGCAUGGGGAAGGCUGGGAUGCAGAAUCCAGGCCUUGCCAGGGCUAGGAAUACACUUCCCCUACGCCUUACCUUGCCAUUUUGGAUAAAAACUACAACUCCCAGCAGGCAACGGGCGGGCAAUCGCUUUACAGCCCCAUCCUUGCCCAGUGGCCACAUGGGUAUUGUUGUUUGUAACGCUAGCUGAGCCAAGAGAGCUUAAGGUUUGGAAUCUGAGGUUCUGUCUCCCCUCCCCGCAUCCCCUGUGUCCCUCCAGAUGAAGCCACAAUGGAAACGUCAGUCUUGAGUUUUCUGAGGAGUGUGAAAUAUAUCACAAACCGUGGUUUAAGAGGUAAAUGCACACAGAUGGGCAGGGGGAGAAGCUCCAGAAUCUUUGGCUCUGGAGUCAACCUGCCUAGCUUCAAAUACCUGCCCAGUCAUCCCCUAGCUGUGUGGCUUUGCGGGAAGGAAGUUUUCCACGUCUAAAAUGGAUCAUAACGGUGCCUGGACACCAGCCCUCGCUUAGCUCAGUGGCCGGCGUGGUUAAGUGGUCAUUCAAUUUCAUUGUCGCUCCCUGAGAAGUCCCCAACGGGAAUUGGCGUGCCCUUCAGACAGAGACAAACUUCCUGUACCUCACUCCUGGGGUGGGGAGCGGAGGGCUCGCACUCCCUGUCACCCUGCUGCUUUCCAGAUGACACUUUAGAGAAGGAGUUCUCCGAGAUGUUGACUCGGGAAAAAGAAAGCUUUCAGAGCUACGUCGUUCGGUUCCAAAGAGAGGGUGAGGGAAUAUGGGUCCUGUACGGGACCACAGCCCCUUCCUCCACCAGUCCCAGGGUCUAUGUCCCCAGCCCCUGCUUUCUACGUCCAUCCCCUUACCUCUCCCGACCGCGCCCUCCCUUGGACCCAGACCUCCAGGCACCCGGGCCCUUCCUCCCUCCAACCCAAGAGCCCAAACCCCCACCUAUUCCUUCUCCCCCUCUCUCAUGUCCUUUAGCUUAGAAACCUGAUACCGUUAUUUUUUUCUUCCUUCUGAGGCAGAUUUCUGUCCCAACAAAUGUGGUGAGUCCAGAUUAUGGAAGAUGGUUUUUUAUCCCUCAUCCUUGCCCCGUGAAUACCCAGCCUUUCUCCUCCUGCUUUGGGUCUCGACGGUUCUUCCUUCCCCACGUCUGAGAGGUUCCUGGUCCCCAGUAGUCCUUCUGCACAGCGGACUUCCUGGGCGACGGGUCCUAUUCCAUGUGGGCUCCUCACUGAGCCCAGUUAGAUCCCUCUUCAUGCAGGUCUGCCUUCUAGCCCCGCCCCUUGGGCUGACCUCUAGAGAUUAGAUGCCUGAUCCCUCCCCAGCCCUUGACCCUGCCCUCUACUUUUAGCCUCCUCUGUUAGGAUAAAUAGAGCCUUGAUCUCUCCCCUCAGGUACGAUGUUGCAGCUUCUGCUCUGGUGCCACAUAUGCAGAAAGCACCUUUACCUUUGUCGAAAGUCCACAGAUUGCGGAGGUGAGAGGCUGGGGCCAACGGGAGGGGUUGGCGCAGGAGAGGCGGAGCCAGAGGAGAGAUGGAGUCUUGACAGGGCGGAGACUGAAGCCCCGCCUGUUAGCAAAGAAGGGCCUGGACCCAGUGGGAGGGAGUGGAUGGAGUGCCUGGAACCAUGAGGAAGCACCCCACCAUAACCCUUGUCCCCAGUGCGCCAAAUCAACGUCCAUGAAAAGGAAGACUUGGUCCUGGACUGUGAGCUCAACUGGCAUAAAUUAUCUGAAGGCCUGACCAACUACAGCUUUUACAGGGUGGGACUUUCAACCCCAAGUCCAUUAGGCUUGUGUGAGCGCCGACCCCUGUAUCCACAAGCUUGUUCCCACAAUCCCCAUGACCCAUGACCUACCAGGUUUGCCUUCUACGGAUCCCUGGGGACCCCACGCCCUUACCAGUACACCCUGGAUUCCCAUCUUCCCCACUGAGAUCCCGUGAUGAUCUCUCCUCUGUUCUCCCUAAGGCCUGAAUUCCCCAGGCCUCUGUGAUCUCUUGAACCUGGGUCUAGGUUUGGGGGAGCAAUUCUGAGACCUUGGCGUACAAGGGGAAACGACCCACCCUGACCAAGCCCCUCGUGGGGCCAGAGGAUGCAGGUACCUACCGCUGCGAGUUGGGUACUGAGCGACAUGGCCCAUCCACGAUCAUCCAUUUUGAAGUCACAGGUCAGUGCUGGGGAGUCGACAGAAGUGUGGGGUUCAGUUUCGUGGGUUUUGGGUACAGCCAUCUUCAGGGCGUGGCCUGCGGGUUAAAACUUCCCUGUGGGAUGUGGAUUCAGGCCAUGGGGGUGUGGCUUCCUGUCCUGGGCGUGGCCACUGCUCACCUGGACCAUGCUUCCUGCAGUUAGGGUCCUGAUGAUCUCCUAGAAGGCCUAGGUUUGGGGAAGGUUGGCGUGGAGAUAGCUUGCCUGGGCCACGAAGGGCCCUCGGGACCCUCUCAGGUCUGCUCUUUCCCUUUCUUCCGUCAGUGUUGCCUCAAAGAAUCAUUGCGGAGACAACGUCCAAGUCUUCAACCUUUGUAACCCAGCCUUCAAUGUUUG